rnacentral:rRNA from 1 species
AUUGAACGCUGGCGGCAGGCCUAACACAUGCAAGUCGAGCGGAUGAACGGAGCUUGCUCCUGGUUUCCGCGGCGGACGGGUGUGUAAUGCCUAGGAAUCUGCCUGGUAGUGGGGGGUAACGUCCGGAAACGGGCGCUAAUACCGCAUACGUCCUGAGGGAGAAAGUGGGGGAUCUUCGGACCUCACGCUAUCUGAUGAGCCUAGGUCGGAUUAGCUAGUUGGUGGGGUAAAGGCUUACUAAGGCGGAGAUCCGUAACUGGUCUGAGAGGAUGAUCAAUCACACUGGAACUUAGACACGGUCAAGACGACUACGGUAGGCAGCAGUGGGGAAUAUUGGACAAUGGGCGAAAGCCUGACCCAGCCAUGCCGCGUGUGUGAAGAAGGUCUUCGGAUUGUAAAGCACUUUAAGGUGGGAGGAAGGGCAGUAAGUUAAUACCUAGCGGUUUUGACGGUACCAACAGAAUAAGCACCGGCUAACUACGUG